rnacentral:rRNA from 1 species
AGAACGAACGCUGGCGGCAGGCCUAACACAUGCAAGUCGAACGCGAUCUUCGGAUCGAGUGGCGCACGGGUGAGUAACGCGUGGGAAUCUGCCCUGUGGUACGGAAUAACAUCGGGAAACUGGUGCUAAUACCGUAUAUCCCCUGAGGGGGAAAGAUUUAUCGCCAUGGGAGGAGCCCGCGUAGGAUUAGCUAGUUGGUGAGGUAACGGCUCACCAAGGCGACGAUCCUUAGCUGGUCUGAGAGGAUGAUCAGCCACACUGGGACUGAGAUACGGCCCAGACUCCUACGGGAGGCAGCAGUGGGGAAUAUUGGACAAUGGGGGAAACCCUGAUCCAGCCAUGCCGCGUGUGUGAUGAAGGCCUUCGGGUUGUAAAGCACUUUCGCACGUGACGAUGAUGACGGUACGUGAGAAGAAGCCCGGCUAACUUCGCGCCAGCAGCCGC